rnacentral:rRNA from 1 species
CGUGCCUACGGGAGGCAGCAGUGAGGAAUAUUGGUCAAUGGUCGGGAGACUGAACCAGCCAAGCCGCGUGAGGGAGGAAGGUACAGAGUAUCGUAAACCUCUUUUGUCAGGGAACAAAGGCGGGGACGUGUCCCCGGAUGAGUGUACCUGAAGAAAAAGCAUCGGCUAACUCCGUGCCAGCAGCCGCGGUAAUACGGAGGAUGCGAGCGUUAUCCGGAUUUAUUGGGUUUAAAGGGUGCGCAGGCGGUCUGUUACGUUAGCGGUCAAAGCCCGGGGCUCAACCCCGGCCCGCCGUUGACACUGGG